UGGGGAAUAUUGGACAAUGGGGGGAACCCUGAUCCAGCCAUGCCGCGUGUGUGAAGAAGGCCUUAUGGUUGUAAAGCACUUUAAGCUAGGAGGAGGGGACUGGUAUUAAUACUACCAGGUACUGGACGUUACUCGCGGAAUAAGCACCGGCUAACUCUGUGCCAGCAGCGGCGGUAAUACAGAGGGUGCGAGCGUUAAUCGGAUUUACUGGGCGUAAAGCGUGCGUAGGCGGCUAAUUGAGUCGGGUGUGAAAUCCCCGAGCUUAACUUGGGAAUUGCAUUCGAUACUGGAUAGCUAGAGUGUGGGAGAGGAGGGUAGAAUUCCAGGUGUAGCGGUGAAAUGCGUAGAGAUCUGGAGGAAUACCGAUGGCGAAGGCAGCCAUCUGGCCUGACACUGACGCUGAGGUACGAAAGCAUGGGGAGCAAACAGG
rnacentral:rRNA from 1 species